rnacentral:rRNA from 1 species
UUAAGAGACAGCAGCCGCCGCGGUAAUACGGAGGGUGCGAGCGUUAAUCGGAAUUACUGGGCGUAAAGCGUACGCAGGCGGUUUGUUAAGUCAGAUGUGAAAUCCCCGAGCUUAACUCGGGAACUGCAUUUGAAACUGGCAGGCUAGAGUCUCGUAGAGGGGGGUAGAAUUCCACGCGUGUAGCAGUGAAAUGCGUAGAUAUGCGGAGGAACACCGAUGGCGAAGGCAAUCCCCUGGACCUGUACUGACGCUCAUGCACGAAAGCGUGGGGAGCAAACAGGAUUAGAUACCCCUGUAGUCCCUGUCUCUUAU